GAAGUGCAGUGACCUGAUAGUGCUGGGUUUGCCUUGGAAAAGCACAGAAGAUGACUUGAAGGCUUACUUCUAACAGUUUGAAGUCAUCAUGGCACAGAAUUCGAUUAUGGCAAAUCCAGAUAGAGCUCCCACUUUUCGUAAGAAGAUUCCAGCCAUGGUCUGUUUACAAGGUGGCUGCAUGGGGGAACAUCGGAAGCAUAUGGUGUUCCUCGGAAAUGGAAACCUUCCAUGGAAGCCGUAAAAGUUGAGGCAGAAAGCAUUGGUGAGCGCCUGGUCUGAUGACGGUCCAUUUUCAUAAGUUUAAAAUGGAGAAAGCGAUAUCAGCAUUUGCG